ensembl:lncRNA
CAGACCUUUAGGACAUGGACAAACGGCACACUAGAGGUGCCAACAGAUUUAUUUAUUUAUUUAUUUAUUUUAUUAUUUAUUUUCUCAGGAGAAAUCCACGCUUUUUAGCUAAUCCACGCUUGAAAUAGCCGCGAGAUGUCGUCACGUGCGAAUUUACAUAUUCAUUACUUGGAUAUUUGCAUAUCAAAACGUGCUUCAUGAAGAAGAUGGAGUUCCUGAACACACUCAUAGAAUAAAGUGGAGUUUAUCAGAACAUAAAAUAUAUCAUAAUUUGGUCAUGACACCACAGAAUAAUUGACUGACUCGUUUAUAAAAUACUGUACAGUCAUUUCUCUUGCGAAGACGAAAAAGCAGUCUUAAUAAAAACUAUAUAACUGGUCUUAUUAGCAUAAAACGUAGUAGUGUGGAGAUAGAAACGUGGAAAUAUGUGGAAACGUGGAAAUGUGGAAAUAUUAACGUGCUUUCCUUACUUAAUUGUCACCAAGAAGAGCGUUUAAAACUUCAAUUCUAUUCAAUUUUAUUUGUAUAGCGCUUUUAACAAUGGACAUUGUCUCAAAGCUGCUUUACAGAAACAUAUAAACACAGGAUAGAGAUUUUAAGCGUGUAAAUUUAUUCUUAUUGAGCGAGCCGGUGGUGAGGCAAAACUCUCUAAGAUGAUAUGAAGAAGAAACCUUGAGAGGAACCAGACUCAGAAGGGAACCCGUCCUCAUCUGGAUAACACCGGAUAGUGUGAAAGUAAAGGAAAGUUCAUUGUGGUUUUAUAUGUAGUCUGUUUUUUGUUGAACUAGUCCACUGUUCACUAAAAGAGACCCGAGUGCAAAACUGCAUGUGGUAAUUGCAGUCCCGGGGCCUUAUUUAUCUUCGAAGAACAAAGGAUUAAAACGAAGAACAAAGAAGUGUGAGAGGUGGACAGAUCUUGAGACCGCAUGAUCUGAAAAUUAGCAGCUUUAAAGAAAGCCUUAAACUAUGCCCACUUGGCAUGUUGCGUCAUACACGACUGAAAAGCUUUUUUUCAUACACACCAAAAGUUUGUGGACACCUGAUCAUCACACCCAUAUAUGUUCCCACUUCCCCAAACUGUUGCCACAAAGUUGGAAGCACACAAUUGUAUAGAAUGUCUUGGAAUUACAAUUUCCCUAUAUUCAAGAUAUUUCCACUUGCUUAGGUGUCAUUUUAAAAGAGAAUGUAAACAGUCGAAACGGAGCAACAAACUAAUAAAUGUUUCCAAGUGCCACUGAACUAGAGCGGAAACAGACAAAACCACCGCCAUAUGGAAACUGGACAAAGUCCAAUGAAUCAUCACUACUUCUCAGUGUGAAUGUUCUCUAAACUCUCAUUUAACAAGGCCAAGAAAAUGGAUUCCUGAAGAAACCUGCUGUGUUAGUGAUCGUAAAGUAACGUUUAAUUGGCCAUUUUGCAAGAUUGCUUCCUUCAUCAGACCCAGAUAGCAGUGUUUAGUCGUACACUCCUCCAGACAGAUACAGGCAUUUCUCUUCUUCAGUUAUGACUGCUGAAGAUGGCUGUUUUAAUGAAUACGUCAUAUCGAGCAUUCGGUCGUCGAGUCAGGGAUGCGGUGGAUCUCGGGAAACACUGGACGUGGCCACCAUGCACAUACACAUUCACACACUCGGGGAGGAAACCAGAACACCUGGAGGAGACCCAGACAGACGCAUGAAACUUUGCGUCAUCAGUAACCGGAGCUCAGGAAUUAACAAGGAGUCUGGGGCUGUCAGGCAGUGACACGAUCUGCUGUGCAGUGCAUCACUCAUUAACCUUUUCAUCUCCAAGGAACCAUUAGUGAGUCCAUAUUUACAUUCCUUACCAGCUUCCAGACGCUUGUGGACACCUGAACAUCACACCCAUGUGCUUCUUUCCCAAACUGUUACCUCAAAGCACACAAUAAUAGAGAAUGUCUCUUCAUUUUCCCUUCACUGGCACUAAGAGGACUAAACCUGUGCACAAAGCGAGCUCCAUGAAGACAUGGUUUGAGAAGGAUGGAGUGGAAGAACUUGAGUGUCCUGAACAGAACCCUGACCUCGACACCACUGAACACCUUUGGGAUGAACUGGAACACCGCCUGCACCCCAGACGUCCUCACACAACAUCAGUUCCUGAUCUCACUAAUGCUGUUGUGGCUGAAUAAUCACACAAUGAUCCCCAUGGCCAC